rnacentral:lncRNA from 1 species
CAUCAAGAGGCUCUUUAGUUCUUCUUCGCUUUCUACCAUAAGGGUGGUGUGGUGUCAUCCUGGAGGAAACUUCUUCAUGUCGAGGAUGGGGGUGGAGUGGAGUGACAGAAGUCCUCUGUCUGAUCCUUUUGUCUGUCCCACUGGUCUUUACUGGUCCCUAAGCCUGUAUGCUUUUGCAAAUGAAAGUUAGGAACACUCCUUUGGUUUUCCUUUCUGCUGAUCAAAUCCUUCCCCUGAAGUAAUGGAAGAAAGGCCUAACUGCUUGAAUGGAGGGGAGAAGGAGGGAAGCGGAGAUUGUGACCAUGUGAAAUAUUAAAUAUUAAGUUACACAUAAAAAUGUACUUUAAUAUUUAAACCACUAACCCCACCACACCAAAUGAAGGAUAUCCUCACACUGAGCAGUGGUUAAAGUGUUUUAUUAAAUUAAGUAUGUAAUUUGCAAAUGGUUUCAUAAGAAAUUUUAAAAGCAAAGUUAUAAAACAGUUUCAAUAAAAAAGUACAGUUAACAGCAAAAUUACAUUUUCUUUAUAGUACAAAUAAAAGGAUUUUGUUUCUAAUAGACUGUUUGAAGAUCUUAUAAUAUAUUCUCCAAUUGACAGUUGCAAUAUUAUAUUUUAAUGAGAAAUCUCAUGGUUAAUUCUCAAUCAUAUGUUAAUAAAUGGGUUCAUCAUUUGGACCAUAAAAGUCAUUUUCUCAACUUUAAGGAAAACAAAGAGACAUUAAGUAACACUGUAAACUUGAAUUACAUUUAAAAAUAAGCACCAUUUACAUACAUUCUACCUAAACUUACUUUACGUUUUAAACGACAAGGUUUUUUGGCCACACAAAACAUUUAAAUCUGUUUUCUUUACCAUGUAAAUAAAAAUAAGCAAUAUUUAACCACAACACAGAAAAAUUAUCAAACUUCACCUCAAUUGCACAAUGAAAAAGCAAUUGGAAAAAACAGCACACAUUAUUUUUGUGUCUUUUUUAUACAUUUUGUCAUUUUCUUAAAUUGAGAGCAGUUAAAACAUUGUCAGAGCAAUUUCCUGAGUUUCAAAGUUUCCAAUUUCCAGCUCAGAAACAACCAAUCUUGCUAUUAUACACGUCUUUUUUUCUAAGCAUACAAAACACGUGAAUUUUAAAAGGACAAAAUAAAGGAUUGGAAACAAUCCAACAGAAUUAUUUAGCUUUCUCUCCAAAAUGUGUUAUAAUACACCAGACACUUUAAAGUGUUAAGUCGGGGUUUCUACUAUACAGUAUGUCCCACAUUUGAAGGCCUUAGAAUUGCAGGCAGUACUGAAACACUAAUACACUGAAGAAACCUCAACUUGAAAUAAUAUAGAGAUACAUGAACAGCCAAUAAAUGUAAGACAAAAUACUUCCAUUUCUCAUGUUUAAGGAAGGAAAUGAACAGACUGAAAAUACUGUUAAAAGUUCCCUCUGUCCAACCCCACUUUCCCUGUGGUUUCCAUAUUAGUGCUCAUCUUCCCCUGGGAGACACUGGUAAG